rnacentral:rRNA from 1 species
AGCGAACGUUUGCGGCGGGCUUAACACAUGCAAGUCGUACGCUGAACCCUUCGGGGGGAUGAGUGGCGCACGGGUGCGUAACACGUGGGUAACCAACCCUGUAGACUGGGACAACCGGGGGAAACUCCGGCUAAUACCGGAUGUGCUACAUGGGGCUUCGGCCUCGUGUAGGAAAGGAGCAAUCCACUACAGGACGGGCCCGCGGCCCAUCAGCUAGUUGGUGAGGUAACGGCUCACCAAGGCAAAGACGGGUAACUGGUCUGAGAGGAUGAUCAGUCACACUGGAACUGAGACACGGUCCAGACUCCUACGGGAGGCAGCAGUGGGGAAUAUUGCGCAAUGGGCGAAAGCCUGACGCAGCCACGCCGCGUGAGCGAUGAAGGUCUUAGGAUCGUAAAGCUCUGUGGGGGAGAAGAAACCUGACGGUAUCCCCUUAGCAAGCACCGGCUAACUCCGUGCCAGCAGCCGCGGUAAUACGGAGGGUGCAAACGUUGCUCGGAAUCAUUGGGCGUAAAA